UUUCUAUGGAGAGUUUGAUCCUGGCUCAGGACGAACGCUGGCGGCGUGCCUAAUACAUGCAAGUCGAGCGGAUCAAAUAGAAGCUUGCUUCUAUUUGGUUAGCGG
rnacentral:rRNA from 1 species